ACAUUUCACGUUUAGUCAUCCAGUGUCGGUCGAGGAGUAGUCUGUGUGUUUUGCGAAGUUGUACAUAGAUUUCUUAUCACAAAGAAGGCUAAUAUAACUGCCAAUUUUUUUUCAUUUAAUAUAAUUUUUAAGUUGUUAAACUGUGGAUAUCUUAAAUCUAUAUUAAUGAUAAAAAUCCAUCGGUUGGAUUUUUUAAAUUUACUGUGAUUAAUUAUUUGUAAUGGCUGUGGUCGGCCCAAGCCGACACUCAAGGGUGUCAAUGUCGCUAAUGCAGGGCUCGACAAACGGUCCGGUAGGCAAUCAUCAACAAGCUAGUGCUUCUCAGCAGUUUUUCCAUGCUCAACAACAAACACAUCAUGCUGCUCAAUCAGCUUCCACACAUUCAGUUGAUUACAAACCCGAUCGACCUAUUGGAUAUGGAGCAUUUGGAGUUGUCUGGGCUGUGACGGAUCCACGAGAUGGACGACGAGUAGCAUUAAAAAAACUACCCAACGUUUUUCAGUCGCUAGUUUCCUCGAAAAGAGUGUUUAGAGAACUGAAAAUGUUGUGCAACUUUAAACAUGAAAAUGUUUUAUCCGCCCUUGACAUUCUGCAACCGCCUCAUUUGGAUUUCUUUCAAGAAAUAUAUGUGAUAACCGAAUUGAUGCAGAGCGACUUGCAUAAAAUCAUUGUUUCACCUCAACAACUAUCGCCAGACCACAUAAAAGUUUUUCUCUAUCAAAUACUACGAGGUCUCAAAUACUUGCAUUCAGCACGUAUAUUACACAGAGACAUCAAACCUGGCAAUUUACUUGUUAACAGUAAUUGCAUAUUAAAAAUAUGUGAUUUUGGUUUGGCUCGGGUAGAAGAACCAGAUGAGACCAAGCAUAUGACUCAAGAAGUAGUUACUCAGUACUACAGAGCACCAGAAAUCCUAAUGGGCGCCAAACAUUACACGGCUGCAAUAGACGUGUGGAGUGUUGGUUGUAUAUUUGCAGAACUUGUAACUAGAAGAAUAUUAUUUCAGGGCCAAGACACGGUCCAACAACUCGAGUUAAUAACAGACUUAUUGGGUACACCAACAAUGGAAGACAUGACCCAUGCCUGUCCAGCAGCUCGUUCACAUAUGCUCAUUAGACGCAUGAAGAAACCUUCUAUGUCACUUUUAUACUCACUUUCUUCACUCAUGACCCACGAAGCAGUUCAUUUAAUUUCACAAAUGUUGGUUUUCAAUCCAGACAAACGUAUGUCAGUGAUGGAUGCAUUGGUCCACCCAUAUAUAGAUGAAGGCCGACUGAGGUAUCAUAGUUGCAUGUGUAAAUGUUGUUUUACAGUACCAAUUACUGGUCUAAGACAUUUUUGCAUGGAUUAUGAACCAGUUGCUCCACAAACAUUUGAUGAUAAAUGGGAGAAAAAAUUAUCAAAUGUACAACAAGUCAAAGAAGAACUUCAUAAAUUUAUCGGUGAUCAAUUAAGUAGUCAUCGUGUGCCGUUAUGUAUAAAUCCUCAAUCAGCAGCUUUUAAAAGUUUCUCGAGGUAAGAUUGGGAAACAAUCAACACUCCUGAGUUUUCAUCCACAAUUAACUACACCUCAAUUAAUCGUGAUGUUUAAUCUUAGCAGACUGCCACUUUAUUUUCUGAACGUGAUAACCGGAUCUCAAACUGCACUUUCGAGAUCGAGACUGAUCAAUGACAUAAUAAAAUCAAGGAUAGAUAACUAAAUUAAAAAUUGUAUAUAAUCCUAUAGUUUCUCUUUCUUUCAUUGUAUUGUGUGAGCCAAAUGUUUAUUUUUUCUUUUUGAUAGAUGUAUGUGCCCAUACUUUUUAUAUAUCCUUUUAUUUUAUGUAAUUAAAAUAAAUUCCUAUAACAAAUCUAAUUUUUAAUGUUUAAUAACUUCAACAAGUUAGUGCUAAAUUUCUGUAGACUAUUCUCAAUUAACUCUAUUUUUACAAAAUAAUACAUGUGAUUUAAUAUUUCAUUUUUAUACCAUGCUUGUUUAAUAAUGAUUUUUUUUGGAAUAUUUUAAUUUUUGGGCGUAUUAGUAAUGUUAAUGGUGUUAUAAUAAUAAUCAUGAAAAGAAAAAAUGUGCACGGUAAAAUAUUUGUAAAUAGUAUACCAGUACCUAAGUGAGUUUUUUUAAUUGUAAAUAAUUUGUAAAAUUUAGAAAUUACUUGCACUUAACAUUGUCAUGUACUUUUUGUAGAUUUACAUCUACAUAUAUCGUUCAAUCAAUGUAAUGUCAUACAAUUAUUUUUAAGUAUAUGAAUGAGUCGGACUUAAAAAUUUCAAUUUUUACUGAAAUAAUUUAUUGAUAUUUAAUAUGUAUAUUUCAAUUUUGUCAUAAAAUAAUAUGUGUGAAUUAUUUUAAUUCUUUUUGUAUUUGAUACUUUAAUAUUGUUUGAUUUUUUAUUUUAUUCUAACUUUUUUGUAGUAACUAAUUUGUAUAUGUAUUAAAUUUAUAUGAUUCUUUUUGCAUUUAAUUAAACCCUCCUUUUUUAUUUGUAUAACCAAUUGUUAAAAAGCCAAAGUUCACAAGUCCGACUCUUAAAGGCCAACUAUUUGUAUAAUAAUAAACUGUAAAUAGUACAUAAUAUUUUAAAAUAAAAAACAAGAACGAAUCUAAA